rnacentral:lncRNA from 1 species
GGUUUUGUCCACAUUCGAUGCUAAUAAAUGAGGGCGCAUUCCAACUAUUUUCUUCACUUGGGUUGCAGAAAACCCAUGGUUUUGGAAGAAGUCAACUACAGCUGAAACUUCUGAACAUGCAUGAGUGUUUAAUUGAGGUACUUUUGCAUCAUUAAUGAUGGUUUUUUUUGAUAAACCAUGGGAGUUCCUGCGAUACAAACUAAUGAGUGACUUGCUCUCAUCAUUUGUGAUGUUGCCGCCACAGCUAGUUGACACAAACUGCACGAAAGGUACUUUUGCAUCAUUAAUGAUGGUUUCUUUUGAUAAACCAUGGGAGUUCCUGCGACACAAACUAAUGAGUGACUUGCUCUCAUCAUUUGUGAUGUUGCUGCCACAGCUAGUUGACACAAACUGCACGAAGACGCUGCU